AAUCGAAUGGGCCAGGCCGGCAG
rnacentral:piRNA from 1 species